UACGUAGGGUGCGAGCGUUAAUCGGAAUUACUGGGCGUAAAGCGUGCGCAGGCGGUUCGUUGUGUCUGAUGUGAAAGCCCCGGGCUUAACCUGGGAAUGGCAUUGGAAACUGGCGAGCUGGAGUGUGGUAGAGGGGGGUGGAAUUCCGCGUGUAGCAGUGAAAUGCGUAGAGAUGCGGAGGAACACCGAUGGCGAAGGCAGCCCCCUGGGCCAACACUGACGCUCAGGCACGAAAGCGUGGGGAGCAAACAGG
rnacentral:rRNA from 1 species